GGAGGGAUGGCCGAGCGGUUUAUGGCGCAUGCCUGGAAAGCAUGUGUGCGAAUAGCACACGGGGGUUCGAAUCCCCCUCCCUCCGCCA
rnacentral:tRNA from 2 species